AUGGAGCACGCAGGAGAGAAGCUUGCAGUACAGCGGGGUUCGGGGCUCAGACCAUGGGAGCCUGCAGGACCCGAGCUGUGCCUCAGAGCCGUGCGAGGUCUGGACUCUGCCUCGGGAAUUGGAGUUCUCCGGAGUAAAACCCACGAAGAGCACCACAGGAGGCUGCGGGAUCUGGGGAAGCCCUGCUCCCCGGGAUCCCACGGAGACUUCCAGGAGCGUGGAAUCGAUGGACAGACUGACGGACACAAAGGCUGUAACUGAGAUCUGGCAGCUCUCGCUCUGUGCCAAUGACUGGCUGCGUAACCGAACUCAGGCCUCACAUGAGAGACGCUUGCUCUCACAUCGUUCAAGGGAGAAGCUUGCCCUGAUAGUAUCUACGGAUUGACAUCCCGAUACCAACACCUUCCAUGCUCACACCGCACCCCCGGGUGCCCCUCACUUCCUCUGCAUGGCUGGGCGGCCUCUCACAGCUGUGUUCCCUCAUUCCACCUGCGAGUGGGGAAAAAUCAAUAUUUUCGAGGAAUGAAUGGACAUGUCUUUCUCUGUCAGAUCUCUCUCUCUCCAGUGGCCAAAAAGCUGAGGAGGGCAGGGAUGCACCCACGAAGGCCUCGGGUACCAUCAAACCAAAGCUAAAGGACAGGAAGAUGGCAUUGUGGGCUUUUCAUCUC
ensembl:processed_transcript Gm15411 predicted gene 15411